rnacentral:lncRNA from 1 species
AUAAGUUCUUAUUUCUCUUUCUUUACAUAACUUCUUAUUUCUUUUUCUUUACUUCUCCUUUCUUUAACUUUCUUUACUUUUGCUCUUAUUAUUCUUUCUUUACUUACUCUAAAGAUAUCUUUAGUUCUCUCCUUUUUGUUACUUUAUUUACUCUAAACAAUAUCUUUACUUCUUCCCUAAGAUCUUUACUUCUCCUAAAAUAAAUACUCUUUCUUUACUUCUCCCCCUUUUUGUUAUCAUCAAAAAGAUACAUGGGAAAGAUGCAAUAAAUACCAAACUUCAAACUUCAUUGAUCAAAAUGGGAACAUUUUCAUACAUUCAUGCCAAAAACAAAAACAGAUACAAUGUUCCUGAAUUAAAGUUUAAAGAUACAUGAUAAAAGCAAAAUACAUAUGAGAACUAGAUAUCUAGCCUAGGCUCUAAACAUAGACGCUAAGAUCAGCCUAGGGAGACUCUAACGGCUGGGAUCUAGUCCUCAUCCUCCUAGUGUACGUGGCGAGGGGAGGUCGAGCCUGAUGAGACUGUGUCUGGCGUGGAGCACGACGAGCUGGAUGACUCUGUGCCGAAAUCUCUGACUCAGCAGCCUGUGGCACAGAUGGUCCAUGGGUCUCUCUCUCCGGAGUGCUCCUAUCUGCUGCCUCAGAUCACUGAUCUCAGCAGACAUGACGUCCAAUCGGCUCGUCAGCCCGUCAGUGAUAGUCCUCGCCUGAGCUGACAUAAGCUCAGUCAUCCUGCUCCAGAACUCAUCCGUAUCUCUCGGAGGAACGGAUGAUGAUGGUCCAGCCUCUGAAG